AAGUGAAAAGUGCAAGUAAAGUCGCUCAGUUGUGUCCAACUCUUCGCAACCCCAUGGACUGUAGCCUACCAGGCUCCUCCGCCCAUGGGAUUUUCCAGGCAGGAGUACUAGAGUGAGGUGCCAUUGCCUCUUCUGUUGUGAGCUUAUCAGUGCAUCUCUAAAAUGGGGAUACUAGUGCACAACUCCAGAGAUGUGUUAUAUGAGAGUUCAUGGUAAGCUCUUAGCGAUUGUGAUUAUUGCCUGUGGCCCUACAUCUAGUUCGAAGGUCAAGGUCAGAGUGGUAACAGGUCAAGAUUAGAGAUUGGGUCAUUUUAGCCCAAAGUUCCUGAGCUGUCUCCUCUCCUCUUGCCCUCCUUACUCCAGGCCACAUAGUUACAAAAUUCCCAGGUUCAAAUCCAAAGCAAACACUAUUUCCAAAACAUCUGUGCCAGACUCAAAUCUGGAUUUGAGUUCAGGUGACUGUGGCAACCUGUGUGACCACAGGCAGGUAGUUUAAUCUCUCUCAGGGUUUGUUUUUUCAUAAAACUAGAGCUGCCCUUCAGGUCCUCAUAAGUUACCCAGGUUUUUGUAAGUAUUUACUGAGAUCCUGGCUCUCAGAAUUCUUAGAUGUCCUCAAAGCUCUAGGGCAGUGACUUCCCUGGUGGUCCAGUGGCAAAGACUCCGUGCUCCCAAAGCAGGGGGCCUGGGUUCAAUGCCUGCUCAGGGAACUAGAUCCCAUAUGUGGCAACCAAGAGUUUGCAUGCCACAACUAAAGAUCCUGCAUGCCACAAAUAAGACCUGGUACAGCCAAAUAAAUAUAAAUACAUAAAUAUUUUUAAAAAGAAGAUCUAGGGCCACAGAAGGGUUGAUUAUAAAAUCAGCAAAGGAAUAGAACCAUGAGCCUCACUUUAGUCUUCCCAAAAGGCAGUGUCUCCCCGUCAAUGCCCCUUCCCCAAAGAUAUUAUUUCUUCUGUCUCCACAUGGCUGAAAAUUAGGGGAAGACCCUCUGUCAGAGAUGGUGUCUUUUUGCAUCUUUGAAUCUUCUGUGCCUGGCUCAAGUUCAGUAAAUAAUAUUUAAUGAAUGAAAGGCUUGGGUUUCCAUGGGAAGAGCUCUGAGAGAAGUAUUUUUAUAUUCACAUGUCAAUGACUGCAUUUCCCCUCUCCCAAUGUGGCAGAACAGAGAAGGCGAUGGCACCCCACUCCAGUACUCUUGCCUGGAAAAUCCCAUGGAUGGAGGAGCCUGGUAGGUAGGCUGCAGUCCAUGGGGUCGCUAAGAGUCGGACACGACUGAGCGACUUCACUUUCACUUUUCACUUUCGUGCAUUGGAGAAGGAAAUGGCAACCCACUCCAGUGUUCUUGCCUGGAGAAUCCCAGGGAUGGGGGAGCCUAGUGGGCUGCCAUCUAUGGGGUCGCACAGAGUCGGACACAACUGAAGCAACUUAGCAGCAGCAGCAAUGUGGAAGAAAGAAUGGGAUACUAGGAACCUGAAAUGGAAGCAGAACAUUUCAAACCAAUGAUCAGAAACCCAAAAAAGGGUGUUUGGCAGGCCAGAGGUUUCUGGCCUGGACUCUGGGGGUUCCCAACUUAUACCUCCCUCUCAGCAUUCAAAACACCUGCCCCACUGCCACUUCCUACCCCACCACUGGGCCAGUGGCCUUUGCAGAUGGGGAAAUUGAAGUUCAGCAGCUGAAAUCAACUCACAUGAGGUCAUAGACAAAGUCCUGAGUUCAUUUCACAUGUUUUAUUGAAUUUUACACAUAGGUGGCUUGAAAAUUUUCUAAGAAAAAAUAAAACUAAUCAAAGAUCUUUUUGAACUGAGUCCUCAAAUGAUCUUUUAUUCCCCAGAAAGUCUAUGUGGUUUUUUUUUGUUUUUUUAUUUUAAUGAAUUUUAAGUUCAUUAAAAUAAAAUUAAAUGAUUUUAUGGCAACGAUUAAAUGGCACUUGCUAAACUUUUACUGGUUUUGAGUCCUUCCCAGGGAGCCAAAGGUCAUCGAGAAUUGCUCUCUGGUCUGUUUCCCUUCCUGAGUUGUUGGCCUCCCAGAGCCUGGGAAAUGAGACGGCCCUUCAGACCAGAGAGACUGCACAAUUGCCAGGCAUGUGCGGUAAGCUGGCCCCGCUGGGCAGAGUUUCCAAGAAAGACCCAGGGGCUGAAAGUAGGAAUGGUUGCACUUAACCAGGGUCCAGUGGGGCAAAUGGCAAUGUUUUGGUGAUCAGGUCGCUGUAUGGAGUGGGGUAGAGCAGGACAACGAGAGAAGAUGGACUGGUUGUACCCUUACCGCUGAAGGUGGCAGCCAGGCUCCUGUGGUCUCCAUCUUGGCAGUCUUCUUUGCCUUCAAAAAGCUUAUUGCUCUAAAGAAGGCAGGGUGCAGGUGCGGUCACUCUGUUUAAGGCCUUAGGGGUUUAAGAAGGCAGCUUGGGGUGAGGGCAAGGCCUAACCCACAAGAGUGCUUCCUCCGAGGUGGGCAUUAGGGCAUGUAGAUCACAGACUCGGUGUUAGAAGGGGCCCUAGAGUCAAUCCAAGCCAGUGGACCUCACACUCGGCUGCAGACCAGAAUCACCUUUUGAAAAAGACAGAUUCCUAGGGCCCAUCUGAAAACAACUACAUCCACAUCUCUGGAGGCAUACCUUGGGAAUCUCCUUGUACCCCAACAGCUAGAACCCCAGUACCAGAAUCCAACUGCCUGCCUCAGACACAGAAGCCAAUCCAGCCUCUGCCUGAAUUUGGGGGAGAGGCAACUCCACCCCUACCCGCAGCUGCUCAUUCCACUGCUGCAACCCCAGCUCUACUUGUAGCUGUAUUUGUAUCAGAUAAUGAUUAGUGAUAAUUAACAUUUGUUCAAUACUUGGCCAAUGACCUCUUAGCACAGAGGCUAAGUUUCUAUAUUCUAGGCUGAGACAGGCCUGGAUUUAAACUUGGUUCACCUUGUUUUUGUAAAUUUGGGUAAAAUGACUAAAGACUCUGAGCCUCAAUUUCCUCAUCUGUGAAAUGGGGAUACCUUGUGUGGAAUCACACAACGGUGUUUAACACAGUGUUUGGCAUAUGUCCUGUCAGUUAAAUGUUUAAAUUGUUGGGGGCUUCUCUGGUGGCUCAGCGCUGAAGAAUCAGCCUGCUAGUGCAGGAGACAGAGGUUCGAUCCCUGGUCUGGGAAGAUCCCACAUGCUGCAACUGCUGAAGCCCGCUCGCUCUAGAACCCGUGCUCCAGAACAAGAGAAGCCACUGCAACGAGAAGCCCGAGCCCCACAGCAAGAAUGUAGCCCCUGCUCGCCGCAACUAGAGAUAAAGCCCAAGGAGCAACAAAGACCCAGCACAGCCAUAGAUAAAUAGAGUUUAAGUUAUUGGAAUUCCCUGGUGGUCAAGUGGUUAGGACUCCAUGCUACCAGUUCAAGGGGUCCAGGUUUGAUCCCUGGUGAGGGAACAGAUACCACAUGCCAUGUGGUAUGACCAAAAAAAAAAAAAAUUCAAGUUGUUCCUCCAUUUAAACCCAAAUCAGUCCACCCUGUGUCUCCACCCAGCUCCUCCUAGCAUUUGGCCCUGGGCUCCAAAGCUCCAUAGAGCAAGCCAUGCUCCCUGCCCUGCCCUUACAGACAGCAGGCCUCUUUCCCAGCAUCUGAUUCUGGUUCCUGUACCCUCACACCCUGGCUAGCCCCUUUCUGGACUGUGUGGCAUUAGGGGUGGUGAAAUAUUAUGGAAACGAGGACUCUCCUCAGCAAGUCCAGGCCUCCAGGAGUACCUUGAGCAUGUGGGGAACCAGAGAAAUUUAUGUGAAAAAGACUCCAGAGAACACACCCUACUAGUAUAAAACUGCCAACCUAGGCUGCCAACCAUGUGCCAGGCACAGGGCUGAGCAUAAUACACUCCUGAGUUCAUUCACCUCUCAUAGCUGGCUGAGGAGAUGACUUUUCCUUAUUUUACCUUUGAGAUGCAGAGAGAUUAACUAACCUGUACAACAAUGCACAGCUGUAACUGACAGGACUGGGGUUUGGACCCAGGACUCCCUAAUUCAACUCCUAGAACUAGAAUGGAACAAAGGAGUUGAACCUGAAUUGAGGGCCAAGUCCAAAAUGCAGUGUUCUUCCAGGAGUUAUCUAGAUGGAUACUUACUAAUUUCUUAUCUAACCAUAAGCCCUUACAUUUAUUGUAUACUUUUUUACUUUUCCAUGAAUGUCCACCUUCAUUUUUUUUUUCUUUUUCUUGGGAAGAGAUGAUAUUUACACAUGAUGUUCCUAGUUUAAAAUUCACAAGGUGCAAAAUAAUUUUUUAUACUCAAAAUAACUCCUUCUUUAUUAGAGUAUAGUUGAUUUACAGUGUUGCGUUAGUUUCUGAUGUACAGCAAAGUGAGUCAGCUAUACAUACCAUAUACCACUCUCCUAUUUUUUUCUUUUUUUUUGACCAUGCUGAGUGGCAUGCAGGAUCUUAGUUUCCCAAACAGGGAUCAAACCCGUGCCCCUUGUAGUGGAAGCACCAAGUCCUUACCACUGAACCACCAGGAAGGUCCCCUUGCCACUUUCAGAUUCUAUUCCCAGAUAGGUCAUUACAGAGUAUUGAAUAGAAUUCCCUGUGCUAUUCAGCAUGUUCUUAUUAGUUAUCUAUUCUAUAUAUAGGCUCCCCUGGUGGCUCAGCAGUCAAGAAUCUGCCUGCAAUGCAGGAGACAGGAGUUCAAUCCCUGAGUCAGGAAGAUCCCCUAGAGCAGGAAAUGGCAACCCACUCCAGUGUUCUUGCCUGAGAAAUCCCAUGGACAGAGGAGCCUGGCAGGCUACAGUCCAUGUGGUAGCAAAAGAAUCAGACAUGGCUUAGUGACCAAACAACAACUAUGUAUAGCAGUAUGUAUAUGUCAAUCCCAAUCUACCAAUUUAUCCCUCCCUCCAGUGCAAAAGAACAAUGAAAACAAUUUGCAGUUCUUAAAAAAGUUAAGCAUGGGACUUCCCUGGUGGUCCAGUGGUUAAGAAUCCACCUGACAAUGCAGGGGACACAGGUUCAGGAAAACUUGUGUGCAGCAACAAAGACCAGUGCCGCCAAAAUUAAAUAAAAAUUAAAUAAAUAAAAUGUAAGGAUUAAAAACAAAUUAAGCAUGGAACUACCAUAUGACCCGGCAAUUCCACACCUGGAUAUGUACCCAAGAGCUGAAAACAAGAAUUCACACAAAAACCUAUAUAUGACUGUUCAUAACAGCACUAUUCGCAUGAGCCAAAAAUGGGAACCUGAAUGUCCAUCCACAGAUGAAUGGAUAAAGAAAAAGUGCUACAUCCAUACAAUGAUAUAUAAAAAUCCACAGACAAUAGGGACAUGGAUAAACCGCAAAAAAACACGCGAAGUGAAAAAAGCCAGACAUAAACGUUCGCGUAUUAUUUGAUUCCCAUCUUUAUGAAAUACCCAGAAUAGGCAAAUCCUUGGAGACAGAAAGCAGGCUUGUGGUUACCAGGAAAGGAGAUGGAAAGUGACUGCUACUGGGUACAGGGCUUUCUUUCUGGGGUGAUGAAAAUGUUGUGGAAUUAGAUCCAGGUGAUGGUUGAACAACAGUGGGAAUAUACUGAAUUGUAUACUUUUAAAUGCUUAAAAUGACUCAUGUUAUGUGAAUUUUACCUCAAUUUUAUAAAAAGAAUAUUGAACAUUAACCCCCAACCCCAUCCCUUAGCAACUGGUACAAGUUCCAGAGAUGUUCUGAUCAUUUAUAAACAUUUGUGUGUUUAGGUUUUCAUAUAAAUGGUAGCACCCUGUAUGUAUUGUCCUGUACCUUGUUUCUUUCACUUGGCAGAGAUCUUGGAGAGUAUUCAACGUCAGCACUUAGCAGACUUUCUGUGUUGUAUUUAACGUCCCUGUAUUGUUACGUGUUGUAGAUGUACCCUGAUAUGUCAAGCCUGUCUACUUCUGGUGGACGUUGAUUAAUUUUUAAAUUUAUUUUGGCUGCGCUGGGUCUUCAUUGCUGCAUGCAGGCUUUCUCUAAUUGCGGCAAGCGGGGGUACUCUCUGGCUGUGGUGCGCAGGUUUCUCAAGGUGGUGGCUUCUCUCGUUACAGAGCGCAGGCUCUAGGGCACAUGGCCUUCGUUAGUUGCGGCUCGCGGGCUCUAGAGUGCAGGUUCAGUGGUUGUGCCGCAUGGGCUUAGUUGCAGCACAGCAUAUGGGGUCUUAGUUUUCCAACCAGGGAUCAGACCUGUACCCCCUGCGUUGGCAGGUGGAUUCUUAACCACUGGACCACCAAGGAAAUCCUGAUGGACAUUUAGAUUGUUUCCAGUCUUCUGCUGUUUUAAACAAGGUGGCUGUGAACUGCCUUGUACAUGGGUCAUUUCACACAUGCCUGUAUCUGUGGAGAAAUUCCUACAAGUGGGACUGCUGGGUCAAAGACUAUGUAUAUUUUAAUUUUUCCUUGCAUACUUGUUACACAAAUUUCUGACAACUCUGAACAUUAUUGGUUAAAAAAUGAAAGAAGCCCUCUCCUUAACUCCAAACCCAUGCCCCUGGUGGAGCUGCUCCUUCUUUGUCUGCCUCCCUUUUGCAGGCACUUCCUCCCUGGCCCUGGGGUGCAGCUCUCAGAGCCACCCCUGCUUGCCUGAUCCUGGGUUUCCCCUCCUCCUCCUGCCCCGCCUCUUCCUUCUCUCAUCCCUUAGUAGAGACUUCCCCACCAGUGCCCAGAGCCUAGGCUGGGAUUGAGGCUCAUAGUCAAAUAUAACCUGUGAAAGUGAAAAGUGUUAGUCUCUCAGUUGUGUGUGACUCUUUGUGACCCCAUGGACUGUAGCCUGCCAGGCUCCUCUGUCCAUGGGAUUCUCCAGGGAAGAAUACUAGAGUGGGUUGCCAUUUUCUUCUCCAGGGAAUCUGCCUGACCCAGGGAUCAAACCCAGGUCUCCUGAAUGGCAGGCAGAUUCUUUACCAUCUGAGCCACCAGGGAAGCCCCAAAUAUAACCUAUUCCCCACCAAACCUACCAAUGGCAGGCCCCUGGCAAAUGCUUUCAAAUCAUGGAAUGUUCAAACCAAAAGUUUAGGGCCUUCUCAUCCAACCCUCACAUUCUACCUUACAUAGUUUUACUCAGGAGGCAACUGAGAAAAGUAUUUCACAUGGUGGUAAGAGCCCUGUAAGGAUAAACAGUGACUUGGGCCCAAGAUUGUUUUUUCAAUAUUUAUUUACUUGGCUGCGUCAGGUCUUGGUUGCUACACACACGGUCUUCGUUGUGGCCUGUGGACUCUCUAGUUGUGGUUCUCAGUAGUUGUGGGCCAGGGGCUUAGUUGUUCUUCUGCAUGUGGGGUCUUCCUAGACCAGGGAUAGAACCCUUGUCCCUUGCAUUGCAAGGCAGAUUCCUAACCACUGGACCACCAGGGAAGCCCUGGGUCCAGGAGUCUCGAUUGGGUGGUGAUAUCUGAGUUGGGACCUGAAUGAUAGGAAAGAGCCAGGUAAAGCAUCACAUGCAAAGGUCCUAAGGUAGAAAAGAUUUUCACACUGGCCUUCACUGGCAGAUUCUUUACCAUCUGAGCCAACAGGGAAUCCCAGAGGGAAGGACAUGGGUGUGGAAAACUCAGCAUGUGCAGGGCCUGGAGUGUCAGGUGAACAGAGAAGACCUCUCAGGAGCAAAGAAAGGCGAAUUGGGUCCACAAGUGGUUGAGGCCCUGCCUGGUGGAGCUAGACCAAGGGCCACAGGAGGUGACGACAGCAGGGCUUUAGGGGUGGAGAAAGGACCAAGUACUGGGCCUCCCUGAGCUUUGUGGGAGGGAGAUGGUGGGGGACAGUGACACAGGGGGCCUAGGCAGAGAACACCGGUGGCAGGACACAGAAGAAAGUCAGAUGUGGUAGGAUGUUUGUCUCUCAGGCAUUUGGAAAUGGGAGGCUGGAGCAGGGAAGAGAUUAGGGAAGACUGCCCGCAGUGAAUGGCAGGCAGUGGCCACCUUCUCAGAGGGGAGAUGUCAGUAGGUGAUUUCAAAAGUGAGUGUGGGAGUCUCCAUAGCUCCCUCCCACCCCAGACAGUCUCUAGGAGCUUCACAAAGUUCAUUAGCAUGUGAAAGACUCAGAAAGCAGGCGGUUUAGCUCCAUUCUACCCUCUACCCCUGUCAGUAAAGAAUCUGCCUGCAUUGUAGGAGACCGGGGUUUGAUCCCUGGGUUGAGAAGAUCACCUGGAGCAGGAAACGGCAACCCACUCCAGUACUCUUGCCUGGGAAAUCCCGUGCACGCAGGAGGCUAGUGGGCUACAGUCCAUAGGGUCGCCAAGAGUCAGACACGACCGAAGUGGCUUAGCACAGCAUAUAUCACCCACAGAGGUUUCCUCCCCCAGCCCCUUCUUAAGUCUUUCAGCUCCUCCCAGACCCACACCCUAGGGAACCACUGAACUGCUUUCAGUCACUAUAGGUUAGUUUGCAUUUUCAGAAUCUUAUGUAAAUGGAGUCAUACAAUGUAUACACUUUUGUCUUCUUUCAGUUGGCAUAAUUACUUUGAGAUUCAUCCAUAUUGUUGUAUAACUUAAUAGAUUCAUUUUUGUUGCUGAGUAGUAAUCAAUUUCAUGGCUGUAUAACAAUCUGUUUACCAUUCACCUCUUGCUGAACAUUUGGGUUGUUUGCAUGUUUUGGCUGUUAACAAAUAAAGCUGCUAUGGGGGCUUCCCUUGGAGAAGGCAAGAAUACUGGAGUGAGUUGUCAUUCCCUUCUCCAGGGGAUCUUCCUGACCCAGGGAUUGAACUCAUGUCUCCUGGGUCUCCUGCAUUGCAGGAGGAUUCUUUACCACUGAGCCACUGGGCAAGUCCUUUUCAUGUGCUUAUUGGCCAUUUAUAUAUCUUAUUUGGAGUAAUGUCUGUUCAGAAUCUUUGCCCAAGUUUUCAUUGAUUUAUUUUUCCUUUUAUUGUCUACUUAUUUGAACCCUUGUAAAGAUUAUAGAUUCUAUAUACAAGUCCCU
ensembl:lncRNA